rnacentral:pre_miRNA from 1 species
UCUUCAUUUCCCACACUCUCUCACCGACCAUAGAGGCGAUAGAGUGUGUGAAAUGAAGAGA